UUGCACAAUUGGUGGCUGACUAAAUACUUUUUUGCCCCACUGUAUAUUAUAUUACUUAUCAUAUCUUUCCGCACACAGCAAAUGUCAGGGCUGUGGUAUCAUAACCGUACCAACCACCCAGAGGUGUUUGCAGGACAGACCCACCGACAGCUCAAGUCUCUGAUGCAGUGCAGUGUAUGUUGUAAGUUCUUCCCUAGUGCCAGGAGCCUGGCCAAGCACCAGAGGAACCCAGGUGAGGACACCCACAGCUGGGGAGAGACCCAGGAAAGGCUUCCAGACCUAACCUACCCUGUCCAUGCUAUUACAUUACAACCACCUCCCCUUUUAUUUGCUUGGGUACACAACUGACGUAAUAUCUUCUUAUUGUUGUUGUUGGAUUAGUGUUGUCCAUCCCUGUUAAGGAAAAUGCCAUUUGGGGUUUUCAUCUCAAAUUAUGUAUUUGUAUUAUGUAUUCCUUCCAAUCCCUUGUGUCUCCUAAAGGCAUGUUUGAUUCUGACGUGCUGCUGGUGGGGAAUCCAGAUCUGCCAUCAGACUCGUCAGUGGUGAAGUGCCUGUACUGCCCCAGCUUGUUCCCCCAGCGAGGCUGAGAUGCAGGAGCACGCCAGCACCGAGCAUUUCAGCCAGGAGGGGGCAGUGUUCGGCUGCUCUCUGCCUGCUGGUYUGCCCCUGCCAGCUGCAGCUCCAGGAGCACUUGCUCUCCUGCUACAUAGGGGCGCUAGAGGAGCAGGAGCAGGCCUCCACCUCCCAGAAGACAGAGGAGGACACUGCUGGUGGAGCAGAACAAAUGAUCUCUGUGGACCAAUCCCAGCAGGUGUUUGUUGCCCUGGGAGACGGAGAGGAUGGUCUCUCAAGCACRGAGGUGAUGGCGGUUAAUGUGGAGGACCUACUGAACGGAACCGUCACCUUUAUAUGUGGAGGUGACCUCUGGCCCCUAGUCUCUACUUCCUGGAGAAGGAGGAACUGUACUUCUCAAUAGUGGCAGCUUGGAAUGAAUGAAACAAACUUGACACUGGUAAUGCCACUGGUUUUGUAUCCUGUAAGAGCUGUAAAUAUUGAGAUGGUGUGUACACUUAUACACUAAGUGACAAAGCGUAACCUUUGAACCCUCAGGAUUGGUGUCUUUUUAUUAAUAAUCAGUCACUCUGUUAUUGCCCUGUGUAGAGCUGUAUAUGAAUCUUUCUGUAUUUAUUUCCUUUUGAACUGGCGUGUGAAGGUUUGGUUGAUAAAUCUGUGAAAUCCAGCACCGUAUGAGUUUUUUAUUUUUUUUAAAUACUACUUUCCAGAAUCUUUAAAUAAUAUUUACCUACAGUAGAAUUAUUCCUCAAACAAAUAAUGGGAUUCAAGGUUUUUAUUGAGACACCACACAUCAGCACGUUCACAGCAACCUUAGAGUUCUGUCUAUGGCCGCGAGCUUACAUUAAUGGUUCACUAGACGGAAUCAUAGCGCAGCGUUAGUCAGUCUGGUGUAUAUACACGCUUGACUGAGGAGGUAUGAGGUAUGUGCCUCCUUAAA